GAUGAACGCUGGCGGCGUGCCUAAUACAUGCAAGUCGAGCGAACAGAUAAGGAGCUUGCUCCUUUGACGUUAGCGGCGGACGGGUGAGUAACACGUGGGUAACCUACCUAUAAGACUGGGAUAACUUCGGAAAACCGGAGCUAAUACCGGAUAACAUUUGGAACCGCAUGGUUCUAAAGUGAAAGAUGGUUUUGCUAUCACUUAUAGAUGGACCCGCGCCGUAUUAGCUAGUUGGUAAGGUAACGGCUUACCAAGGCAACGAUACGUAGCCGACCUGAGAGGGUGAUCGGCCACACUGGAACUGAGACACGGUCCAGACUCCUACGGGAGGCAGCAGUAGGGAAUCUUCCGCAAUGGGCGAAAGCCUGACGGAGCAACGCCGCGUGAGUGAUGAAGGGUUUCGGCUCGUAAAACUCUGUUAUUAGGGAAGAACAAACGUGUAAGUAACUGUGCACGUCUUGACGGUACCUAAUCAGAAAGCCACGGCUAACUACGUG
rnacentral:rRNA from 1 species